rnacentral:tRNA from 2 species
GCCGCCGUAGCUCAGGGGUAGAGCACUCCCUUGGUAAGGGAGGGGCCGGAAGUUCGAUUCUUCCCGGCGGCACCA